UACAGAGGGGGCAAGCGUUGUUCGGAAUUACUGGGCGUAAAGGGCGCGUAGGCGGCCUUCUAAGUCGAACGUGAAAUCCCCGGGCUCAACCCGGGAACUGCGUCCGAGACUGGAAGGCUUGAAUCCGGGAGAGGGAUGUGGAAUUCCAGGUGUAGCGGUGAAAUGCGUAGAGAUGUGGAGGAACACCAGUGGCGAAGGCGACUCUUUGGCCUGUAACUGACGCUGAGGCGCGAAAGCGUGGGGAGCAAACAGG
rnacentral:rRNA from 1 species